UACGUAGAAGACUAGUGUUAUUCAUCUUUAAUAGGUUUAAAGGGUACCUAGACGGUAUAAUUAGUCUUUAACAGGAAACGGUUAUACUAGAGUUAUAUAUGAGGAGGUGAGUAUUUGUGGAGUAGAGUUGAAAUUCGUUUGAUACCAUGAAGACUGGUAAAGGCGAAAGCAACCUUUAUCUAAUAACUGACGUUGAGGACGAAGGCUCGGUCGCGAACAGG
rnacentral:rRNA from 1 species